rnacentral:rRNA from 1 species
GCUGGCGGCGUGCCUAAUACAUGCAAGUCGAGCGGACAGAUGGGAGCUUGCUCCCUGAUGUUAGCGGCGGACGGGUGAGUAACACGUGGGUAACCUGCCUGUAAGACUGGGAUAACUCCGGGAAACCGGGGCUAAUACCGGAUGGUUGUUUGAACCGCAUGGUUCAGACAUAAAAGGUGGCUUCGGCUACCACUUACAGAUGGACCCGCGGCGCAUUAGCUAGUUGGUGAGGUAACGGCUCACCAAGGCGACGAUGCGUAGCCGACCUGAGAGGGUGAUCGGCCACACUGGGACUGAGACACGGCCCAGACUCCUACGGGAGGCAGCAGUAGGGAAUCUUCCGCAAUGGACGAAAGUCUGACGGAGCAACGCCGCGUGAGUGAUGAAGGUUUUCGGAUCGUAAAGCUCUGUUGUUAGGGAAGAACAAGUGCCGUUCAAAUAGGGCGGCACCUUGACGGUACCUAACCAGAAAGCCACGCUAACUACGUGCCAGCAGCCGCGGUAAUACGUAGGUGGCAAGCGUUGUCCGGAAUUAUUGGGCGUAAAGGGCUCGCAGGCGGUUUCUUAAGUCUGAUGUGAAAGCCCCCGGCUCACCCGGGGAGGGUCAUUGGAAACUGGGGGAAUUGAGUGCAGAAGAGGAGAGUGGGAUUCCACGUGUAGCGGUGAAAUGCGUAGAGAUGUGGAGGAACACCAGUGGCGAAGGCGACUCUCUGGUCUGUAACUGACGCUGAG